GCCCUCGUGGAUGAGAUGGUACAUCACCUCCGAGUUUUAGAGCACGUAAGGCGGGGGUUCGAAUCCUCCCGAGGACA